rnacentral:rRNA from 1 species
UACGGAGGGUGCAAGCGUUAAUCGGAAUUACUGGGCGUAAAGCGCACGCAGGUGGCUGAGUCAGUCGAUUGUGAAAGCCCUGGGCUUAACCUGGGAAUUGCAGUCGAUACUACUCAGCUAGAGUAUGGGAGAGGGCAGUGGAAUUCCCGGUGUAGCGGUGAAAUGCGUAGAUAUCGGGAGGAACAUCAGUGGCGAAGGCGGCUGCCUGGCCCAAUACUGACACUCAGGUGUGACAGCGUGGGGAGCAAACAGG